rnacentral:rRNA from 1 species
UCUCAGUUCGGAUUGGAGUCUGCAACCCGACUCCAUGAAGCUGGAUUCGCUAGUAAUCGCGCAUCAGCCACGGCGCGGUGAAUACGUUCCCGGGCCUUGUACACACCGCCCGUCAAGCCAUGGAAGCCGGGGGUGCCUGAAGUGCGCUGCCGCAAGGAGCGCCCUAGGGUAAAACCGGUGACUGGGGCUAAGUCGUAACAAGGUACC